rnacentral:rRNA from 1 species
GACGAACGCUGGCGGCGUGCUUAACACAUGCAAGUCGAACGGAAAGGCCCUGCUUUUGUGGGGUGCUCGAGUGGCGAACGGGUGAGUAACACGUGAGUAACCUGCCCUUGACUUUGGUAUAACUUCAGGUAACUGGGGCUACUACCGGAUAGGAGCUCCUGCUGCAUUGUGGGGGUUGGAAAGUUUCGGCGGUUGGGGAUGGACUCGCGGCUUAUCAGCUUGUUGGUGGGGUAGUGGCUUACCAAGGCUUUGACGGGUAGCCGGCCUGAGAGGGUGAACGGCCACAUUGGGACUGAGAGACGGCGCAGAGGCCUACGGGAGGCAGCAGGGGGGAAUAUUGCACAAUGGGAGGAAGUCUGAUGCAGAAACGCCGCGUGCGGGAUGACGGCCUUCGGGGUGUAAACCGCUUUAGCCUGUGACGAAGCGGGAGUGACGGUAAUGGGUAAAGAAGCACCGGCUAACUACGUG